CUCGUGGCUCAGUCGUUAGAGCGUUGGUGCAUAAAACCAAAGGUCCGGGGUUCGAUCCCCGACGAGG
rnacentral:tRNA from 1 species